rnacentral:rRNA from 1 species
CCCCCUCAAGAUGAGAUUUCCCAACUUCGGUUAUAAGAUCCCUCAAAGAUGAUGAGGUUAAUAGGUUCGGGGUGGAAGCAUAGCGAUAUGUGGAACUGACGAAUACUAAUCGAUCGAAGACUUAAUCCAAUUU